AACGCGAAGAACCUUACCCAGGUUUGAAAUGGUGUGGACGAUGUCAGAGAUGACAUUUCCCGCAAGGGUCACACCACAGGUGCUGCAUGGCUGUCGUCAGCUCGUGCUGUGAGGUGUUGGGUUAAGUCCCGCAACGAGCGCAACCCUUAUCAUUAGUUGCCAUCACGUAAAGGUGGGCACUCUAGUGAGACUGCCCGGGUUAACUGGGAGGAAGGUGAGGAUGACGUCAAGUCAGCAUGGCCCUUAUGUCUGGGGCUACACACGUGCUACAAUGGUCGGCACAGAAGGAAGCAAGACCGCGAGGUGGAGCAAAUCCGAAAAGCCGGCCUCAGUUCAGAUUGCAGUCUGCAACUCGACUGCAUGAAGAUGGAAUUGCUAGUAAUGGCGUGUCAGCAAUAGCGCCGUGAAUACGUUCCCGGGCCUUGUACACACCGUACGUC
rnacentral:rRNA from 1 species